rnacentral:rRNA from 1 species
UUCUAUGUCCAUACCACCUUGAAUGCACCUGAUCUCGUCUGAUCUCAGAAGCUGAGCAAAGUCAGGACGGAUUAGUACUUGGAUAGGAGAUAAGGGUAUGGUGCAUAUAUC